CCUACGGGAGGCAGCAGUGGGGAAUAUUGCACAAUGGGGGAAACCCUGAUGCAGCGACGCCGCGGGAGUGAAGAAGGAUCUCGGGACGGAAAGCUCUAGCAGCAGGGAAGAGAAGGACGGUACCUGACCAAGAAGCCCCGGCGAACGACGUGCCAGCAGCCGCGGUAAGACGUAGGGGGCAAGCGUUAUCCGGAUUUACUGGGUGGAAAGGGAGCGGAGACGGCAGCACAAGUCUGGAGUGAAAUCCCGGGGCUUAACCCCGGAACGGCUUUGGAAACUGUGCGGCUGGAGUGCAGGAGGGGUCAGCUGAAUUCCUCUUGUCGCGGUGAACUGCGUAGAUCUUCGGAGG
rnacentral:rRNA from 1 species